GCGCCUGUAGCUCAGCGGAAGAGCAACGGCCUUCUAAGCCGUGGGUCGGAGGUUCGAAUCCUCCCAGGCGCAUCA
rnacentral:tRNA from 1 species